rnacentral:rRNA from 1 species
AGAGUUUGAUCAUGGCUCAGAGUGAACGCUGGCGGCGUGCUUAACACAUGCAAGUCGAACGAUGAAGCUUUAGCUUGCUAGAGUGGAUUAGUGGCGCACGGGUGAGGAAUAUAUAGCUAAUGUGCCCCUUAGAGGGGGAUAACAGUUGGAAACGACUGCUAAUACCCCAUACUCCUUCUUACUAUAAGGUAAGUUGGGAAAGUUUUUUCGCUAAGGGAUCGGGCUAUACGGUAUCAGCUUGUUGGUGAGGUAAUGGCUCACCAAGGCUAUGACGCCUAUCUGGUCUGAGAGGAUGAUCAGACACACUGGAACUGAGACACGGUCCAGACUCCUACGGGAGGCAGCAGUGGGGAAUAUUACACAAUGGAGGAAACUCUGAUGUAGCAACGCCGCGUGGAGGAUGACACAUUUCGGUGCGUAAACUCCUUUUAUAUGGGAAGAUAAUGACGGUACCAUAUGAAUAAGCACCGGCUAACUCCGUGCCAGCAGCCGCGGUAAUACGGAGGGUGCAAGCGUUACUCGGAAUCACUGGGCGUAAAGCGCGCGCAGGCGGCCCGUUAAGUUGGAUGUGAAAUCCUAUGGCUCAACCAUAGAACUGCAUCCAAAACUGAUGGGCUAGAGUCUGGGAGGGGAAG